GGCUUCGUAGCUCAGCUGAUAUAGCGCUUGCCACGUAGAGGCAUGGUGUUUCUGUCGCUGGUUCGAAUCCAGCCGAAGCCC
rnacentral:tRNA from 1 species